CUACGGGAGGCAGCAGUGGGGAAUUUUGCGCAAUGGGCGAAAGCCUGACGCAGCAACGCCGCGUGGAGGAUGAAGGUCUUCGGAUCGUAAACUCCUGUCAGCGGGGACGAAAGCCCAAAAGGUUUGACUGUACCCGCUGAGGAAGCCACGGCUAACUCCGUGCCAGCAGCCGCGGUAAUACGGAGGUGGCAAGCGUUGUUCGGAAUUACUGGGCGUAAAGGGCGCGUAGGCGGCUUGGCAAGUCAGAUGUGAAAGCCCCGGGCUUAACUCGGGAAUUGCAUCUGAAACUGCUUUGCUUGAGUCCUGGAGGGGGUAGUGGAAUUCCCAGUGUAGCGGUGAAAUGCGUAGAUAUUGGGAGGAACACCUGCGGCGAAGGCGGCUACCUGGACAGUGACUGACGCUGAGGCGCGAAAGCUAGGGGAGCGAACGGGAUUAGAUACCCCCGUAGUCCC
rnacentral:rRNA from 1 species